rnacentral:rRNA from 1 species
CAGCAGCCGCGGUAAUACAUAGGUGGCAAGCGUUGUCCGGAAUUAUUGGGCGUAGAGGGCUCGCAGGCGGUUUCUUAAGUCUGAUGUGAAAGCCCCCGGCUCAACCGGGGAGGGUCAUUGGAAACUGGGAAACUUGAGUGCAGAAGAGGAGAGUGGAAUUCCACGUGUAGCGGUGAAAUGCGUAGAGAUGUGGAGGAACACCAGUGGCGAAGGCGACUCUCUGGUCUGUAACUGACGCUGAGGAGCGAAAGCGUGGGGAGCGAACAGGAUUAGAUACCCCGGUAGUCCCUGUCUCUUAUAA